rnacentral:rRNA from 1 species
UACGUAGGGUGCGAGCGUUAAUCGGAAUUACUGGGCGUAAAGCGUGCGCAGGCGGUUUUGUAAGCCAGAUGUGAAAUCCCCGGGCUUAACCUGGGAAUGGCAUUUGGGACUGCAAGGCUGGAGUGUGGCAGAGGAGACUGGAAUUCCUGGUGUAGCAGUGAAAUGCGUAGAUAUCAGGAGGAAUACCGAUGGCGAAGGCAGGUCUCUGGGCUGACACUGACGCUCAUGCACGAAAGCCAGGGGAGCAAACGGG